ACGGAGGGUGCAAGCGUUAAUCGGAAUUACUGGGCGUAAAGCGCACGCAGGCGGUUGGAUAAGUUAGAUGUGAAAGCCCCGGGCUCAACCUGGGAAUUGCAUUUAAAACUGUCCAGCUAGAGUCUUGUAGAGGGGGGUAGAAUUCCAGGUGUAGCGGUGAAAUGCGUAGAGAUCUGGAGGAAUACCGGUGGCGAAGGCGGCCCCCUGGACAAAGACUGACGCUCAGGUGCGAAAGCGUGGGGAGCAAACAG
rnacentral:rRNA from 2 species